rnacentral:lncRNA from 10 species
AAAGGAAUGAAAGAAGACAGUCCCAAAGUAAAAUGUCCUGUAAGGAGUUUCGAGAAACUAAGUAUACCUGGGCAAUAUGCAGAGAGUUCCAAGUGGAGCAAAAAGAGAAAUUGGCAGAGGAGAAGGAAGGGUUGGUGAAAUGUCUUGAAGCUUCUCAUUCUGAAUAUGAAUUUAAUGUGUGUAGUAGGAAGCUACUAUAGGUUGCUCAGCAAGAAGGGGGUAAAAAUGAUUAUUUAACCAGUUCUUGAUGUUUCAAGGUAGAUGUUAGUAGAAAGAGGCUGGGGGUAACUGGAGUACUCAUGAAAUGACGCAUUUCUCAGUGAGAAUGGUGACUAAGAAAAGGGAAGGAAGAGCACAACUAAGUAAUUACACAAAGGAAUGAUUGUCAGGUGUUGGCUAUAAAUUAUGCAUAGGAAAAGGUGGAAAAAGAUGUAUUGAAGAAAAGCUCAAGAUACAGAGUAAGAGAGACCAAAGCAGCAUCCAGCAAUCAUUUUUUUGUGUGUAUGCACUUUAUUUGUUCUAAACCCUGUAAGGCCUUGCUACUUCAAGUGUGGUCCAAGGCCCAGCAGCAAGGGCUUUACCUGGGAGCUCAGGUAAAGCUCAGACCUUCCCCAGGCCUUCUAAAUCAUAAUCUGCGUUUUAACAGGAUCCCUAGGUGAUUCUUACGCAUAUUCAAGUUUGAGAAACUGCUUUAGAGGAUACCUCAGACUGUAAAAACUUCAAACUAAGAAAAACAGAUAUAUAACAAGUUAUAAUUAACGUUAAAGAUAACUUUUUAUUAGUACUAAUGGUAGGAUUAACAGGUAAAGAGGGGGUAGUUAGUGUUAGAGGGGACCUCAGAAAAGAAAUAAAAAAGG